CUUGCCUUCAUCUCCCUAAGUGGUGCCACCAUGCUUCCUUCCGCCCCCCGCCCCCUUUUGUUUGCUUGUUUGGCUAGUGUUUAUUUGGAGAAGGGAUCUUGCACAAGUCACAGCUCAGGUCAACAUAUGGGAGCCAACAUGCGUUUCCAUCAUGUGGGUCCCGAGGACUGACAUCAGGUUGUCAGUCUUAGAGGUAAACAUAUUAACCACUGAGCCAUUGCACUGGCCCCUAUUUUUCUUUUUCCUUUUUUAAUGUGUAUGAAUGAUUUUUCUGUGUACAACAGGUGUGCCUGAAGCCCGCAGAGGCUAGAGGAAGAGGAAGACAUCAAGUUCUCCAGAACUGGAGCUGUAGACAGAUGAACUGCGCGCUUGCUGAAGCCGGACCGGAGCCUUGCCAGAAGCUGGACCUUUCUGUGUGACUUUCUCAAGAAAGUCAGUGAGUCUGAGGCUGCAGAGCUGGAAAUAAUUCAGACCAAAGCCUAAAACCCAAACAAGAACUUAAACAACAAAACAACCACUUGCCGGUACCAUACCUGGAUGUUCAGUAAAUGAAAUAAUCAAA